rnacentral:rRNA from 1 species
GACAGAGGGUGCAAACGUUGUUCGGAUUUACUGGGCGUAAAGCGCGUGUAGGCGGCUUGGCAAGUCGGAUGUGAAAGCCCACGGCUCAACCGUGGAAGCGCAUCCGAAACGGCCUCGCUCGAGUCUCGGAGAGGAAGGUGGAAUGCUUGGUGUAGAGGUGAAAUUCGUAGAUAUCAAGCAGAACACCUGCGGCGAAGGCGGCCUUCUGGACGAUGACUGACGCUGAGACGCGAAAGCGUGGGGAGCGAACAGG